GAUGAACGCUGGCGGCGUGCCUAAUACAUGCAAGUCGAGCGAACGGACGAGGAGCUUGCGUCUCUGAUGUUAUCGGCGGACGGGUGAGUCACACGUGGAUAACCUACCUAUAAGACUGGGAUACUUUCGGGAAACCGGAUCUAAUACCGGAUAAUAUUUUGAACCGCAUGGUUCAAAAGUGAAAGACGGUCUUUCUGUCACUUAUAGCUGGAUCCGCGCUGCAUUAGCUAGUUGGUAAGGUAACGGCUUACCAAGGCUACGAUGCAUAGCCGACCUGAGAGGGAGAUCGGCCACACUGGCAGUGAGACACGGUCAAGACUCCUACGGUAGGCAGCAGUCGGGAAUCUUCCGCAAUGGGGGAAAGCCUGACAGAGCACCGUGGCGUGAGUGAUGAACGUCUUCGGACCGGAAAGCUCUGUUAUUAGUAAAGAACAUAUGUGUAAGUAACCGUGAACAUAUUGACGGUACCGAAUCAAAAAGCCACGGCUAACUACGUG
rnacentral:rRNA from 1 species